AACCUGGUUGAUCCUGCCAGUAGUCCAUAUGCUUGUCUCAAAGACUAACCCAUGCAUGUCUAAGUAUAAAUGGUAUACAGUAAAACUGCGAAUGGCUCAUUAAAACAGUUAUAGUUUAUUUGGU
rnacentral:rRNA from 1 species